UUUGACGGAACCCAGCCACAGGGGGCGGUCCUCGGUGUGUUCGCGGCCGUACGUCGCGAGCAGGGCCUGGGCCUC
rnacentral:antisense_RNA from 2 species